AGUGAACGCUGGCGGCAGGCCUAACACAUGCAAGUCGAACGGCAGCACAGCAGUAGCAAUACUGUGGGUGGCGAGUGGCGGACGGGAGAGGAAUACAUCGGAAUCUACCUUUUCGUGGGGGAUAACGUAGGGAAACUUACGCUAAUACCGCAUACGACCUUAGGGUGAAAGCGGAGGACCUUCGGGCUUCGCGCGGAUAG
rnacentral:rRNA from 1 species